rnacentral:rRNA from 1 species
GCUUAAUUAGACAUAAAAGACGAGAAGACCCUAUAGAUUUUUAUUAUUUUAUUAAAUUUUAUAUUUUUAUUUAAUAAAAAUAAUUUCAUUGGGGUGAUUUUGUAAUAUAUAAAACUUAAAUUUAUUUAACCAUAAAUAAUUGAAAUUUUUGAUCUAAAAUUUUUAAAGAAAAGAUUAAAUUACCUUAGGGAUAACAGCGUAAUUUUUUUUAAGAGUUCAUAUCUAUAAAAAAGCUUGCGACCUCGAUGUUGAAUUAAGAUAAUAUAUUGAAGUAG